ACUAAUUUGGCAGAGUUAUUGUAUCAAAUUUAGGAUUUGAAUAGGGUUAAGUCAAUUAGUA
rnacentral:tRNA from 1 species